GGCCUUUCGGACUUAACAUAACCACAAGAUGAGUGGCAUAUAAAUAAGGAUGUUGAAAUGGAUGUGUAAUUAUAAGAUUAAACAGAAUUAGAAAGAGAAAAGACAUAAGUUGCCCAUCAAACUUGUCCGAAAAAAUCAUUUACAGGGCUUAACUUUACGGGCGACCUAUGUCCCCCUUAUUUUUGUUUGAGGUGAAUUUAAUACCACCCUAAAUGGUGACGUGGCAAAGGCAGUAGUUUCACUCUCCCAAACUCGCGUGUAAGAGGGGAAAAGAUUAAAAUUAGAUACAUAUUUUUACUGUGUCCGUCCCUUUUUCUUUUAUACUACUUCUUUCUUAUUUUAUUCUCUUUUUUGUUUUCUCUCUCUACCUUUUCUUCUUCUCUUUACCAUCAUUUCUCUUUUCCCACCCAAGACACCACCGUAUCUCCGCCAUACACCAUUGUAUCUGCCACCAUCCCCUCUUCCUUUUUUUCUUUUUUCUUCUUUUUCUCUUCUACUUUUUCUUUACCCGAGUAGAAGUACUCUCCACCACCUUUCAGCAAUAGCAGUACAACCUGUACUUCCCACACCCAUAUAUAGCCAUAUUGAUUCCAUUCACCAACUUCUCCUAGCUACAAAAAUCCUUUGUUUAUGAUUUAUUUAUUGUAAUAUUUCGUUGAACAAAAUUAAAUAAAUGGUUUAGUCUGGCCUCUUGAAAAGAUUGUUGUGUUUUUUUUCUUAAAAGAGUAAUAGUGCAGAUGCUGAAAUCAUUAGCUAACUUUAUGUUUGCUUGUACCAUGAUUCUUGUAUUUCACUUUAUUUGAGUUGAAUUCCAGAUGAUACAUAUUAGUUUACUUGGCGUCAAGUUAUGAGCUUGAGAUUUUUGUAAAAUAUUUCCAACUAAAGGGUCUUUUGAAAGAGGGAAGAGCAUAGAAUGGCCUAAGGAUCAAUAGCUCACUUUGAAGCCAUUGAUAAUUACAGUUUAUUGAAAUUUGAAAGUGCUUUUCUGUUUGAACAUAAAUUUUGCCGAAGCUUGAGGGUUUUUAAUUGGUUGAAAAGUUGGGUUUUCCGGCAUCAAUUUUCCGACGACGAGUUUUUCCCCUACUUUUUAAAGCUGAAAAUGAUGGAUCUUCCAUGGUGGUGUAGGUGGUUGAAGAUGAUAUGAAAAAAGAUUUGAAAAAGUAACGAAAUAAGUGAAAAUAAAAUAAAAUAAAGCAGCUUUUGACACGUGGCGCGUGUGUAAUACACAGCCCACCACAAGACUGAUUAUGUGUUAUCAAGGGGGUAUUAAAUUCACCUAAAACAAAAAUAAGGGGGACAUAGGUCGCCCGUAAAGUUAAGGUGUGUAAAUGAUUUUUUUCAGACAAGUUUGAUGGGCAACUUAUGUCUUUUCUCAAUUAGAAAUCAGCACAUUUGACAGAGGGUGCAACAUACAUAAUUACAUUAAGGAUAAAAUGAAAUAAGGUCGUCUGAAAUAGUUUGAUCAUGUCCUACGUCAAAACUAUGAUGACGAUGCUAAAGGGGACUGCU
rnacentral:lncRNA from 1 species